rnacentral:rRNA from 1 species
AUUGAACGCUGGCGGCAGGCCUAACACAUGCAAGUCGAGCGGGGUUUUCGGUACCUAGCGGCGGACGGGUGGAGUAAUGCGUAGGAAGCUACCCGACAGAGGGGAGUACCAGUUGGAAACGACUGUUAAUACCGCAUAAUGUCUACGGACCAAAGUGUGGGGCCUUCGGCCACAUGCUGUCGGAUGCGCCUACGUGGGAUUAGCUAGUUGGUGAGGUAAUGGCUCACCAAGGCGACGAUCCCUAGCUGGUUUGAGAGGAUGAUCAGCCACACUGGAACUGAGACACGGUCCAGACUCCUACGGGAGGCAGCAGUGGGGGAAUAUUGGACAAUGGGCGGCAAGACCUGAUCCAGCAAUGCCGCGUGCAGG